AUUGAACGCUGGCGGCAGGCCUAACACAUGCAAGUCGAGCGGAUGAAGAGAGCUUGCUCUCUGAUUUAGCGGCGGACGGGUGAGUAAUGCCUAGGAAUCUGCCUGGUAGUGGGGGAUAACGUCCGGAAACGGGCGCUAAUACCGCAUACGUCCUACGGGAGAAAGCAGGGGACCUUCGGGCCUUGCGCUAGCAGAUGAGCCUAGGUCGGAUUAGCUAGUUGGUGAGGUAAUGGCUCACCAAGGCUACGAUCCGUAACUGGUCUGAGAGGAUGGUCAGUCACACUGGAACUGAGACACGGUCCAGACUCCUACGGGAGGCAGCAGUGGGGAAUAUUGGACAAUGGGCGAAAGCCUGAUCCAGCCAUGCCGCGUGUGUGAAGAAGGUCUUCGGAUUGUAAAGCACUUUAAGUUGGGAGGAAGGGCAGUAAGUUAAUACCUUGCUGUUUUGACGUUACCGACAGAAUAAGCACCGGCUAACUUCGUGCCAGCAGCCGCGGUAACAC
rnacentral:rRNA from 1 species